AUUGAACGCUGGCGGCAGGCCUAACACAUGCAAGUCGAGCGGAGCGGCGGACGGGUGAGUAAUUCCUAUGAGUCUGCCUGGUAGAGGGGGAUAAUGUCCGGAAACGAGCGCUAAUACAGCAUGCUCUCAGAUGAGACUAGGUCGGAUGAGCUAGUUUGUGGGGUAACGGCCUACCAAGGCGACGAACCGUAACUGGUCGGAGAGGAUGAUCAGUCAAACUGGAACUGAGACACGGUGCAGACUCCUUCGUGAGGCAGUCGUGGGGAAUAUUGGACAAUGGGCGAAAGCCUGAUCCAUCCAUGCCGCGUGUGUGAAGAAGGUCUUCGGAGUGUAAAGCACUUUAAGUUGGGAGGCGUUACCAACAGAAUAAGCACCGGCUAACUUCGUGCCAGCAGCCGCGGUAAUUC
rnacentral:rRNA from 1 species